AUGUUUUUCUACCAGGGACCCAUCUGUAAAGAAAUAUUUUUCAGCCUGGGCCUAAACAGAAAAACUGGAAGCGCGUACGGCCGAAAUACAUCUUCUGCAAAGGGAAGCGUAUUUCCAGUCGCAGUUCAAUCAGAGUAUGCUUUCCGAAUAGAGAAAACGUAUUCCAGAGGAUACGUGUCCACUUAUGUGACUAGGCAGAGGCGGGGCCGGGCUGUAUCGCUGACGUGCGAGUCCCACGGGGUGGCGCCCGUCACUUAUCCACGCUGGCCGCCCGGGUCAACGCAUGCAGGAGCGAGACCGGGCCUGAGUGGCUGCCAGGUGGGGUCGGGGAAAGGAGGGGGGCCCGCCUGGCCUAGCUCCUUCUUCCUCCUCGCGCGUGCCCGACGGAGCAGAGCAGAGGCGCGGCUCCGACGAGGGUUGCCAGUAGCUCCGGCCACCGUUCAAGGCGCCGAGGAUACCGGCAGGCUCGGGACGUCGAGGCGGCUCCGUUCCAAGGUGGCACGUUCGCCGGGGACCUCGAGGUCGAGGAGGGCAGGGGCCAAGGCGGAGGGGAGCUUCGGGUGGAGAUGGGCUCGUGGCCAUGGUGACUCCGGCGGCGAGGCAAGUACAUGGGGAGGCUCGCAGGAGCAUGGGGAGAACGGUGGUGGUGGUGGGAUGGAGAGAAAAAGGCUGCACUGCCCGAAUUUAGGAGGGGGCCGGCGACGGGCACGGCGGCCAUGA
rnacentral:rRNA from 1 species